rnacentral:rRNA from 1 species
UACGAAGGGGGCAAGCGUUGUUCGGAAUUACUGGGCGUAAAGGGCGUGUAGGCGGUUUAAUCAGUCAGAGGUGAAAUCCCUGGGCUCAACCCAGGAAUUGCCUUUGAUACUGUUAGACUAGAGUUCGGGAGAGGAUAGUGGAAUUCCCAGUGUAGAGGUGAAAUUCGUAGAUAUUGGGAAGAACACCAGUGGCGAAGGCG